rnacentral:rRNA from 1 species
AAACUUACAUUUAGAAGGGUCUUUACCCCUGCUAUGAUGGAAGAGUGGUACUUCCUUGAACAAAUUAUAAAAGAGACUACCCUCACUGGAGAGGAAGAUGUCAUGAUCUGGCAAUAUGAAUCCAAAGGGGUUUACUCUUCCAGCUCGUUGUAUGCCAUCAUUAAUUUUAGGGGGGUGAAACCUGUCUUUAUUCCUUCAGUUUGGUCUAUUGUAGUGCCACCCAGAGUUCAGGUCUUUCUCUGGCUACUGGCCCAUAACAAACUGAUGACUAAAGACAAUUUGCUUAAAAGGGGGAUUGACAAAACUCCGGGAUGCCUAUUCUGCUCUGACCAGGAAACAGUAGAUCACCUGUUUUUUGGUUGUGUGGUAGCAAAAAACAUCUGGACUGAGGUCUCCUCCUUUCUUUCUGUUGAUUUAGGGUCUAGCUAUCUCUCUAUUGCCAAAUUUUGGCCUGCAAACAAAAAACAUGAAGUACUAAAUGCCUUUUGCGCCUGUGUACUGUGGUGCCUUUGGAAAGUUAGGAAUAAACAUGUUUUUGAUAAUGCU